GGCCAAUAGGGAACGGCCGCUUGCGUACACGGAUCAGUCUGCAAAAUUAACGAUAGGCAGUGAUGGGAAUUUGAAGCUCAUGGAUGGACAAGAAAAUAUAGUUUGGUCUACCAAUGUCUAUAGUCGGUCCAAUUACACGUCGGCGGUGCUAUUAGAUAGUGGGAAUUUUGUUCUGCAAGAUGGCAAUUAUGGCGAAAUAUGGGGAAGCUUCGAGGAUCCGACAGACACUCUUCUUCCAACAAUGGAGGUAGGAUUAAAUGUCAGGACUGGAGUGAAAAAGUCUUUAAUUUCCUGGAGAAGCGACAGUGAUCCAUUCCCUGGAAGUUUCUCGACUGGAAUGACAUCCGGGACGCCGCCUCAACCUUUCACUUGGAAUGGUUCGACUCCUUACUGGAGAGGUGGGCAAUGGGACAAAUCGAAAUUUAUUGGCAUACCAAACAUGGACCAAUCAUACAAGACUGGCUUCACUGUCCAGCAGGAUCCUCAGCAGGGAACCACUUACUAUUCGAUAAAUAGAUACGAUAUCUUUCUAUACAUGUUCAUUUCUCCCAGAGGAUCUCUCACGAUAAUGCGCUGGGAUGAUGGAGCUAAGGUAUGGUUGAUGGAGUGGGCAGCACCGAACAAUACUUGUGAGAUUUAUGGAACUUGUGGUCCAUUUGGAGUUUGUAACUCAUUGAAUUCGCCUAUUUGCAGAUGCAUAGAUGGGUUUGUGCCAAAGUCAAAUGAAGAAUGGAACGGUGGAAACUGGAUCAGAGGAUGUGUAAGAGAGAUGGAAUUGAAUUGCCAGAAAACACAAGCACAUCGAUUUCUACAAAUGUAAAGAAAGAUGCAUUUUGGCAAAUGAGCCAGAUGAAACUACCCGACUCUGGGGACUAUGUAUCAGACGUUGAAGAUGAAGAAGGAUGUGAAAGCUGGUGCCGGAGCAAUUGUUCUUGCUUGGCUUAUUCUUACGUCAGCACCAUUGGGUGUAUGGUUUGGAGUAAAGACCUCAUUGAUCUUGAGGAAUUUCCCACAGCUGGGGAAGAUCUAUUUGUUCGAGUCGCACAUAUAAAAGCAGGAGGAUCGCGACACAGAGCAGUUAUCAUCAGCCUGAGUACUAUUGCAGGGAUUAUGUUCUUUGCAGUAUUUGUUUUUGUUCUUUGCAAAUGGAGAGCUAACAAAACAGGAAACUUGAGCAAAAUUCGAAGGCUCCUUGAUUCAGUAGAUACACUGGAAAAAUCGACUGAGCCGACACAAGGAAAUGCAUGGCAAGAGCAGUUGAAGCAAGAUGAUUUGCCAGAAUUGACCCUUUAUAGUUUUGAUAGCAUACUGCUUGCUACAAACAAGUUCAGCACGACAAGUAAACUUGGGCAAGGAGGGUUUGGCUCUGUUUAUAAGGGGAAGCUGAAAGAUGGGAAAGAGGUAGGUGUGAAAAGACUUUCCAGUGCCUCAGCCCAAGGCGUUGAAGAGUUCAAGAAUGAGAUCAUCCUUAUAUCGAAACUCCAACAUCGAAAUCUUGUUAAACUCAUGGGUUACUGCAUUGAAGGAGAAGAAAAGAUUUUGGUAUAUGAGUACUUGUCGAAUAAAAGCUUGGACACCUUUCUUUUUGAUUCAAGAAAGAAGGCAGAACUUGACUGGGGCAAACGAUUUCAAAUAAUUCAGGGGAUUGCAAGGGGCUGCUCUACCUCCAUCGAGAUUCUUGCCUUAGGGUCAUACAUCGAGACUUGAAAUGGUUAUAUGUCUCUUGAGUAUGCCAUGGGUAGAAUAUUUUCCGAGAGGUCUGAUGUCUAUAGCUUCGGAGUGUUGCUAUUGGAGAUAGUAAGCGGCAAAAAGAACACGUCCCUGUAUGACCAGGGAUAUCUGAAUCUUCUUUCCUACGCAUGGCAAUUGUGGAGUGAUGGCAAAGCAUUGGACCUAAUGGAUGUAGCAAUGGUUGUUAGCUCUCCUUUGGAGAUAACAAGAUGCAUCCAUGUUGGGCUUCUCUGUGUUCAGGACCAUGCCACGGAUAGACCAAACAUGUCGAAUGUGGUUUUGAUGUUAAGUGGUGAGUCGAGAUCUUCCUCGGCCGAGGCAGCCUAUGUUCACUUUCCAAUCUGAAAUGCCAAAUCGUUCUAUUCC